GCCAGCGAUGGCCGGUUGCGAGGUGCUGCAUGGUUGUCGUCAGGCUCGUGCCGUGAGGUGUCGGGUUAAGUCCCAUAACGAGCGCAACCCCUACUGCUAGUUGCCAGCGGGUCAUGCCGGGGACUCUAGCGGAACUGCCAGCGUAAGCUGCGAGGAAGUGGGGAUGACGUCAAAUCAGCACGGCCCUUACGUCCAGGGCUACACACGUGUUACAAUGGCCAGUACAGAGGGCAGCCACCCGCGAGGGGGCGCUAACUCCUAAAAAGCUGGUCCCAGUUCGGAUCGGAGUCUGCAACCCGACUCCGUGAAGCUGGAUUCGCUAGUAAUCGCGCAUCAGCCACGGCGCGGUGAAUACGUUCCCGGGCCUU
rnacentral:rRNA from 1 species